AGACCCGAAACCCGGUGAUCUAGCCAUGGGCAGGUUGAAGGUUGGGUAACACUAACUGGAGGACCGAACCGACUAAUGUUGAAAAAUUAGCGGAUGACCUGUGGCUGGGGGUGAAAGGCCAAUCAAACCGGGAGAUAGCUGGUUCUCCCCGAAAGCUAUUUAGGUAGCGCCUCGUGAAUUCAUCUCCGGGGGUAGAGCACUGUUUCGGCUAGGGGGCCAUCCCGGCUUACCAACCCGAUGCAAACUGCGAAUACCGGAGAAUGUUAUCACGGGAGACACACGGCGGGUGCUAACGUCCGUCGUGAAGAGGGAAACAACCCAGACCGCCAGCUAAGGUCCCAAAGUCAUGGUUAAGUGGGAAACGAUGUGGGAAGGCCCAGACAGCCAGGAUGUUGGCUUAGAAGCAGCCAUCAUUUAAAGAAAGCGUAAUAGCUCACUGGUCGAGUCGGCCUGCGCGGAAGAUGUAACGGGGCUAAACCAUGCACCGAAGCUGCGGCAGCGACGCUUAUGCGUUGUUGGGUAGGGGAGCGUUCUGUAAGCCUGUGAAGGUGGCCUGUGAGGGUUGCUG
rnacentral:rRNA from 1 species